GAUGAAGAACGUAGCGAAAUGCGAUAAGUAAUGUGAAUUGCAGAAUUCAGUGAAUCAUCGAAUCUUUGAACGCACAUUGCGCCCGGUAGUAGUCUGCCGGGCAUGCCUGUUCGAGCGUCAUUUCAACCAUCAAGCCCCAGCGCUUGUGUUGGGGGCCUGCGGCUGCCGCAGCCCCCUAAAAGCAGUGGCGGGCUCGCUAUCACACCGAGUGCAGUAGUUCAUCUUCUCUCCGGUCUUGUGAGGCGGGUUCCGGCCGUGAAACACCCCACUACAUUCAAGGUUGACCUCGGAUCAGGUAGGAAUACCCGCUGAACUUAAGCAUAUCAAUAAGCGGAGGA
rnacentral:misc_RNA from 1 species